rnacentral:rRNA from 1 species
GAUGAACGCUGGCGGCGUGCCUAAUACAUGCAAGUCGAGCGAACAGACGAGGAGCCUGCUCCUCUGACGUUAGCGGCGGACGGGUGAGUAACACGUGGAUAACCUACCUAUAAGACUGGGAUAACUUCGGGAAACCGGAGCUAAUACCGGAUAAUAUAUUGAACCGCAUGGUUCAAUAGUGAAAGACGGUUUUGCUGUCACUUAUAGAUGGAUCCGCGCCGCAUUAGCUAGUUGGUAAGGUAACGGCUUACCAAGGCAACGAUGCGUAGCCGACCUGAGAGGGUGAUCGGCCACACUGGAACUGAGACACGGUCCAGACUCCUACGGGAGGCAGCAGUAGGGAAUCUUCCGCAAAGGGCGAAAGCCUGACGGAGCAACGCCGCGUGAGUGAUGAAGGUCUUCGGAUCGUAAAACUCUGUUAUUAGGGAAGAACAAAUGUGUAAGUAACUAUGCACGUCUUGACGGUACCUAAUCAGAAAGCCACGGCUAACUACGUG